rnacentral:misc_RNA from 1 species
GAUGAAGAACGUAGCGAAAUGCGAUACGUAAUGUGAAUUGCAGAAUUCAGUGAAUCAUCGAAUCUUUGAACGCAUAUUGCGCUCUCUGGUAUUCCGGAGAGCAUGCUUGUUUGAGUAUCAGUAAACACCUCAACUUCCAUAUCUUUUUUGAAAUGGGAGUUGGACUUGAGUGAUCCCAACGCUUUUCCUCACCGAAAAGUGGCGGGUUACUUGAAAUGCAGGUGCAGCUGGACUUUUCUCUUAGCUAUAAGCAUAUCUAUUUAGUCUGCCUAAAAAACAGAUUAUUACCUUUGCUGCAGCUAACAUAAAGGAGAUUAGUUCUUGUGCUGACUGAUGCAGGAUUCACAAAGACAGGCUUCGGCCGACUUUGUAAACUCGAUCUCAAAUCAAGUAAGACUACCCGCUGAACUUAAGCAUAUCAAUAAGCGGAGGA